CGGGGUGUGGCUCAGAUGGUAGAGUGCCUCGUUUGGGACGAGGAGGUCCCCAGUUCGAGUCUGGGCACCCCGA
rfam:Microgenomates bacterium GW2011_GWA2_46_7 TX62_C0027, whole genome shotgun sequence.